GUACGUAGGGGGCUAGCGUUGUCCGGAAUCAUUGGGCGUAAAGAGCGUGUAGGCGGCCCGGUAAGUCCGCUGUGAAAGUCGGGGGCUCAACCCUCGAAUGCCGGUGGAUACUGUCGGGCUAGAGUGCGGAAGAGGCGAGUGGAAUUCCUGGUGUAGCGGUGAAAUGCGCAGAUAUCAGGAGGAACACCGAUUGCGAAGGCAGCUCGCUGGGACGUAACUGACGCUGGAGACGCGAAAGCGUGGGGAGCAAACAGG
rnacentral:rRNA from 1 species